rnacentral:pre_miRNA from 1 species
ACAGGCUGGAGACACCCUAGGGUGUCUCAGCGAGGCCGAGACACCCUUGGGUGUCUCGGCCUUGGCCGAGACACUCUGGGGUGUCUCGCUUG